CUUUAACUGCAGCAGUGAGUGGAUUUAUCGUCCUCCUCCUCUCUGUGCCAGUGGUUCAGGGUCAGGACAGCUGGAGAGUGACUUACUCUUCUCUUCAGAUCUGUGCUUAUAAAGGAUCAACUGUGGAGAUGAACUGCACCUUCACAUACCCAGAGAGGAUAAAUAGACAAGUUAACUCACUUCAGAAAACAUUCUGGUUGAGAAAAGAUGGUUUUCAUUACAAAGAUGUAGAAACAGUUUCAGAGUAUUCAGGUCGUGUGAAGAAUAUCUGUGAUGAGAACAAAUGCACUCUGAGAAUCACAAACCUGAGAGAGACAGACUCGACUGUGUACAGGUUUAGAUUCAUAAUAAACAAAGACAGUUAUUAUGGUCACCCUGGGGUCACUCUGUCAGUCACAGAUUUCCAGGUGAAGGUGAGCAGACCAUAUAAGGCUCUGCUCUUUCAGUGUCUCAGUGGACUUUCCAGUCAAACCUCCUACAUCUGGUUCAGGAACGGACAGAAAUUCAAACAUAGCACUUCAUCUUAUUAUUCACCAGAGCAGCUUCUUCAGACAGACAGUUACUCCUGUGCUCUAUCAGGACAUGAGAAGUGCCCGUCUCCUCCAGUGUAUGCUCCAAAGCUUCCCU